UCUUAAUGUUUAAAAAUAUCAUCUUUUUUUCUUCUUUCAAAAUUAUAUAUGAAUAAUAUUUACGCAAUAAAUUAUACUGCAAGCAAUUAUUUGGGGUCUCGUGUAGUUUUAAAAUAUUUAUUUAAUGAAAUUUGAUUAUUUCAUAUAUCAUUUGGUUAACUUGUCUUGUCACAAAGAUGAAUAAUAAAAAACUUAAUUUGAAUUUGUAGAGAAAUAACAAAACGACAGAAAAUGUUUGACGAAGAAAUAACUUUGAAACCGUCGAACACUUCCUCGUUACAAGUGCGGUACAGGUAAUAUGAGCAGGUGUAGUAGUAGUAGGGGAAUUUCUCGCAUAUCAGAGAAAAGAAACCGUUCUCUUUGCUUGUAAGUUGUCAGUUACGAUUCGUUUUCCUUCGUAAAAGGAUCAUCGUUCAAUAUAAUCUGUAAUAUUAUCGUGAAUGUGCGAUUAAUUAUGAUUUGGAAAUAAUUGAAUGGAAAAAAGAAAAAAAGAAAAAGGUGAAAAGUAAGAAAAA
rnacentral:lncRNA from 1 species